GUACGGCGAGUGAGCGGGAAGAGCUCAAAUUUGAAAUCUGGUAGCCUUCGGUUGCCCGAGUUGUAAUCUAGAGAAGUGUUUUCCGUGCCGGCCCAUGUACAAGUCCCUUGGAACAGGGCGUCAUAGAGGGUGAGAAUCCCGUCCUUGACAUGGACCCCCGGUGCUUUGUGAUACACUUUCAACGAGUCGAGUUGUUUGGGAAUGCAGCUCAAAAUGGGUGGUGAAUUCCAUCUAAAGCUAAAUAUUGGCGAGAGACCGAUAGCGAACAAGUACCGUGAGGGAAAGAUGAAAAGCACUUUGGAAAGAGAGUUAAACAGUACGUGAAAUUGUUGAAAGGGAAACGAUUGAAGUCAGUCAUGCUCUUGGGACUUACCUCCCUUGAGUGGGGUCAACAUCAGUUUUGAUCGAUGGAUAAAGGCACGGGGAAGGUAGCACUCUCGGGUGAACUUAUAGCCUCGCGUCAUAUACAUUGAUUGGGACUGAGGAACGCAGCAUGCCUUUUGGCCGGGAUUCGUCCACGUACAUGCUUAGGAUGUUGACAUAAUGGCUUUAAACGACCCGUCUUGA
rnacentral:rRNA from 1 species